rnacentral:rRNA from 1 species
AUUGAACGCUGGCGGCAGGCCUAACACAUGCAAGUCGAGCGGUAGCACAGGGAGCUUGCUCCUGGGUGACGAGCGGCGGACGGGUGAGUAAUGUCUGGGAAACUGCCUGAUGGAGGGGGAUAACUACUGGAAACGGUAGCUAAUACCGCAUAACGUCGCAAGACCAAAGAGGGGGACCUUCGGGCCACUUGCCAUCAGAUGUGCCCAGAUGGGAUUAACUAGUAGGUAGGGUAACGGCUCACCUAGGCGACGAUCCCUAGCUGGUCUGAGAGGAUGACCAGCCACACUGGAACUGAGACACGGUCCAGACUCCUACGGGAGACAGCAGUGGGGAAUAUUGCACAAUGGGCGCAAGCCUGAUGCAGCCAUGCCGCGUGUAUGAAGAAGGCCUUCGGGUUGUAAAGUACUUUCAGCGGGGAGGAAGGUGUUGAGGUUAAUAACCUCAGCAAUUGACGUUACCCGCAGAAGAAGCACCGGCUAACUCCGUGCCAGCCGCCGCUGUAAAAC